rnacentral:rRNA from 1 species
AGAGUUUGAUCCUGGCUCAGAACGAACGCUGGCGGCGUGGAUAAGACAUGCAAGUCGAACGGAAUAUCAUGAGUAGUAAUACGAGUGGUGUUUAGUGGCGAACGGGUGCGUAACACGUGGAUACAUUCCGGGAAGCGGGGGAUAGCCCAGGGAAACUUGGAUUAAUACCGCAUGUGAUCGAAAGAUCAAAGACGGGGACCGCAAGGCCUGUCACUUCCCGAUUGGUCCGCGGCCUAUCAGCUAGUUGGCGGGGUAAAAGCCCACCAAGGCUACGACGGGUAGCUGGUCUUAGAGGACGACCAGCCACACUGGAACUGAGACACGGUCCAGACACCUACGGGUGGCAGCAGUCGAGAAUCUUUCACAAUGGGGGCAACCCUGAUGGAGCGACGCCGCGUGGAGGAUAAGGUCUUCGGAUUGUAAACUCCUGUCAUGCGCGAACAAGGUUGCAGGGAUAAUACCUUUGCAAAUUGAUGGUACCGCAAGAGGAAGAGACGGCUAACUCUGUGCCAGCAGCCGCGGUAAUACAGAGGUCUCAAGCGUUGUUCGGAAUCACUGGGCGUAAAGGGUGCGUAGGUGGCGUGGUAAGUCAGAUGUGAAAGCCCGGGGCUCAAACCUCGGAACUGCAUCCGAUACUACCAUGCUAGAGUACUGAAGAGGAAACUAGAAUUCUCGGUGUAGCAGUGAAAUGCGUAGAUAUCGAGAGGAAUACCAAAGGCGAAGGCAGGUUUCUUGGCAGUUACUGACACUGAGGCACGAAGGCCAGGGGAGCGAACGGGAUUAGAUAUCCCGGUAGUCCUGGCAGUAAACGGUGUACACUUGGUGUGGGGGGAUUCGACCCCUUCCGCGCCGGAGCUAACGCGUUAGUGUACCAUCCUGGGAGUACGGACGCUAGAUUAUAACUCAAAGAAAUU